rnacentral:sRNA from 1 species
UCUUUGCAGGAUGACAGCAAGAAUGAGAAUCUGCUUGACCUGAACCAGAAGCUUCAGUUGCAGCUAAACCAGGAGAAGGCCAGCCUGCAGCUGGAAAGUGAAGAACUGAAUAUCCUCAUCAGGUGUUUUAAGGAUUUCCAACUGCAGCGGGCUAACAAGAUGGAGCUGCGAAAGCAGCAAGAAGAUGUGAGUGUGGUCCGUCGCACUGAGUUUUACUUUGCUCAGGCACGGUGGCGCCUGACAGAGGAAGAUGGACAGCUGGGAAUUGCUGAAUUAGAACUGCAGAGGUUCCUCUACAGCAAGGUGAAUAAGUCUGAUGACACAGCAGAACAUCUCCUGGAGUUGGGCUGGUUUACCAUGAACAACCUCCUCCCCAAUGCUGUCUAUAAGGUAAAUGUGGUGCCUCUCACCAUCCAGCUGACACACCAGUUCUUCCAUAGAAUGAUGGGCUUUUUCUUUCCUGGCCGAAGUGUGGAA